rnacentral:miRNA from 1 species
AGGCUGGUAUACUAUCGGUAGCAC